ACUAAAUAGAUACCCGGGUAGUCCUGACAGUAAACGGUGCACGCUCGGUGUGGGGGGUGACCCUUCCGUGCGAACGCUAAACGCGAUAAAGCGUGCCGCCUGGGAAGUACGAUCGCAAGAUUAAAACUACAAAGAAAUUGACGGGGACCCGGCACAAGCGGUGGAGUAUGUGGCUUAAUUCGAUGCAACGCGAAGAACCUUACCUGGCCUUGACAUGCAUUGUGUCUCCGGUGAAAGCCGGAUAGCGUAGCAAUACGCGCUUUGCACAGGUGCUGCAUGGCUGUCGUCAGCUCGUGUCGUGAGAUGUUGGGUUGAGUCCCGCAACGAGCGCAACCCCUGUAGUCCGUUGCCACCGGUUCAUUCCGAGCACUUGGACUAGACUGCCCAGAUCAACUGGGAGGAAGGUGGGGAUGACGUCAAGUCCGUAUGGCCCUUACGG
rnacentral:rRNA from 1 species